CAUUUGUUCUCUAAAUAAGGACUUGUAUGAAUGGCCACACGAGGGUUUUACUGUCUCUUACUUCCAAUCAGUGAAAUUGACCUCCCCGUGAAGAGGCGGGGAUGAACUAAUAAGACGAGAAGACCCUAUGGAGCUUUAACUAACCAAUUCAAAGAAAAUAUAAAAAAUCACCCAAGAGAUAACAACAUUUUCUCAUGAGUUGACAGUUUCGGUUGGGGUGACCUCGGAGAAUAAAAAAUCCUCCGAACGAUUCUAAAGACUAGACCCACAAGUCAAAUCACUCAAUCGCUCAUUGAUCCAAAAAAUUUGAUCAACGGAACAAGUUACCCUAGGGAUAACAGCGCA
rnacentral:rRNA from 2 species